rnacentral:rRNA from 1 species
UACGGGGGGGGCAAGCGUUGUUCGGAAUUACUGGGCGUCAAGGGCUCGUAGGCGGCCAACUAAGUCAGACGUGAAAUCCCUCGGCUUAACCGGGGAACUGCGUCUGAUACUGGAUGGCUUGAGUUUGGGAGAGGGAUGCGGAAUUCCAGGUGUAGCGGUGAAAUGCGUAGAUAUCUGGAGGAACACCGGUGGCGAAGGCGGCAUCCUGGACCAACACUGACGCUGAGUGAGCGAAAGCCAGGGGAGCAAACGGG